rnacentral:rRNA from 1 species
UUAAGCAUAUCAAUAAGCGGAGGAAAAGAAACCAACAGGGAUUGCCCUAGUAACGGCGAGUGAAGCGGCAACAGCUCAAAUUUGAAAUCUGGCUCUUUCAGAGUCCGAGUUGUAAUUUGCAGAGGGCGCUUUGGCUUUGGCAGCGGUCCAAGUUCCUUGGAACAGGACGUCACAGAGGGUGAGAAUCCCGUACGUGGUCGCUAGCUAUUGCCGUGUAAAGCCCCUUCGACGAGUCGAGUUGUUUGGGAAUGCAGCUCUAAAUGGGAGGUAAAUUUCUUCUAAAGCUAAAUAUUGGCCAGAGACCGAUAGCGCACAAGUAGAGUGAUCGAAAGAUGAAAAGCACUUUGGAAAGAGAGUCAAACAGCACGUGAAAUUGUUGAAAGGGAAGCGCUUGCAGCCAGACUUGCUUGCAGUUGCUCAUCCGGGCUUUUGCCCGGUGCACUCUUCUGCAGGCAGGCCAGCAUCAGUUUGGGCGGUGGGAUAAAGGUCUCUGUCAUGUACCUCUCUUCGGGGAGGCCUUAUAGGGGAGGCGACAUACCACCAGCCUAGACUGAGGUCCGCGCAUCUGCUAGGAUGCUGGCGUAAUGGCUGUAAGCGGCCCGUCUUGAAACACGGACCAAGGAGUCUAACAUCUAUGCGAGUGUUUGGGUGUCAAGCCCGAGCGCGUAAUGAAAGUGAACGGAGGUGGGAACCCGCAAGGGUGCACCAUCGACCGAUCCUGAAGUUUACGGAAGGAUUUGAGUAAGAGCAUGGCUGUUGGGACCCGAAAGAUGGUGAACUAUGCUUGAAUAGGGUGAAGCCAGAGGAAACUCUGGUGGAGGCUCGCAGCGGUUCUGACGUGCAAAUCGAUCGUCAAAUUUGGGCAUAGGGGCGAAAGACUAAUCGAACUAUCUAGUAGCUGGUUCCUGCCGAAG